GACAGAAAACUUGAAUUUCAGACUCCACAAAGAAGCAUAGAGCAAUGUCACUGUGCUUGUUUAUGCCUGACCAGAGGGUAAUGGCUGCGGUAUACAGAGUGCUAGUUUACCAGAAUCUCAAGAUGUAAAACACAGAAAAAGCAGAAGCCCCAAAGAGAAAACAGAACAAAGGCUGAACUGUCUUUCUGCAAGCCCUGGGAUCCUUCCAACCUUCCCCACCCCUCACAGGCACAGGCAUUUCUGAAGUCUUCCUGGGCUUGGAGGGACAUACUUUGAAAACCCUUAAAUCCAGCCCCUCAUUCUGCAGAUGAAGAGAUGAAACCCUGAGAGGCUGAGACCUACCAAGUUUGCACAGUGUUGGAGUUUGUGACCCACGGUCUUCUAUAGCUUACGGCUACAGAAGCAGUUUUGAGGACUGAGCUUAUGGCAACCAUGGUAAACUUAGGACACAGCGAUAGGGGACAAUCUCAUUUCAAAAGAUGAGUGCUGUUCUUGCCCAGGAAGAUAUGGAUCUUCCUGCAAAUUGCAGGCCCGGAGUUUAUGGUGGAGAUGACCUGAAGAUACCACAGCCCCUACACCACUUGCAUUUCUUUUGCGCUUAUGAAUCCUGAGCAUGAACAAGGAUUAGGUCUCUUGGAGACCUACCGAAAAGGGGGCAGAUCCAGGUUUGGAGGUAGGGGGGCGGGCGGUGGGGGGGCUCUCAAUACUGGGGGCUCUCCUUAGGAAAGGAAUACAUGAAUUCAAAAUGAGAGGCCAGGACUUGGAAGGGAUACAUGUAAGUGAAACGUCCUGAAGUUCGAGCAUAAUGAGCUUCCUGGUAAUUCCAGCUCUACUCCUAUAGUCACUGAACUUCCUUCGUUUCUCCCUCCACUCCAUCCCUCUUCGACCCUUUGUCCUUCUAUCCAGCUCACAAGCCCCAACUCUGACGACUAGUCUCUGCUGUGCACCAGGCAGCAACUUCAUACGUUUACAUUCUGAUUUAAAAACAGGACUUGGCUCCGCUCUGCAGGUUUUUAUCCAAGUCAUGAUACAUGCAUAGCUUUUCUUGAUCUAAAAGAAGAAAACGAUGUACAAGUAAUCUGUGGGUGAUGGGCAAACACACUACAUGGGCUGUUAGACUUGGUAGACCCUACUUGAGCUGGGGCUAUGGUUUUCUAUCUAUGUUUGUAAACAGGGGCAGGCUCUUCUAUGCCUGGGACAUCCAACAAGUAAAACCAUCCUCUCAGAUGGGGAGUGGGGAGGGGCUUAACAACCUAGAGAAUGUCACAUAGCUACGCAUCAUUCUGUAUAAUUGAUAGAAUAUUUUUACACAUGGCACCUGAUCUAAUGUGGUUUUAUUUAUACACCCAUUAAGACAGAUUGGGGACUGAGGCUUAGAGUGACUUGCCGAGGUCACAGAGCUACUCGCUGGUAAAGUCAGGCUUUGAAGAAUGACUCCAAGUUCAGUGCCCUUUCUAAUUCGACAGGAACUGCAAUUUUCACUUAAUACCGCUUUGUACAGGCUUGAUGCCCAAGGAUGAGGCUUAACGUUUGAUUCUGAACAGUUCCCUUUUAAUGCUUUCCUACAGCUCCCCCCCACCCCCCGCUGUUACCCCCACACCCAGAGGACACAAAGACUGCCCAGGCAACCACGGCACAAAGAACCCAUAGACAAAGUCAGUAGAGGCCAUUUUGUGGAUAAUCUGGGGACAAGAAUGUGUUCCCCAUUGGGAGGAACAUUUUCUCAAAGGGGGUGAUCUGGAUGAGUCAUCAAAGUUCAUGCUACCAUUUGCACUGUUUCCCACCUCUCCCCUUCCUUGUGGGCAGUGACGUCACUCAGCCCUGGAGAGAGACUAUGUCUGUCCCCCACCUCUGGUCCCCAGCAGUCUGCUCAGUCAGGGCCUGGCCCGGAGCCACAGAGCCCAGCGCAGGAGGGGAAGAAGCGUGUCUCCCAGUGGCUGUCAGCUUUCCCAGCUAAGUCUCGCCACCCCUUUUUGCCUCUGCCCUGCACACACAGCCUCCAGCCGCCUGCCCGACUUUCCAUUUUCAGGCCUGUCUGGUGCUGUUCUGGUUCUUGGAGUGGGACGACCCCCCUCCCCCUGCCCGGGUGCCUUGUCUGCAGCCUGGGGCUGCCCCCAGCGACACUCGGGCUCUGUGCCCACUGGCCUGGCAGGCCCUCUCUCAGGACAAUGAGAAUCUGCUGUAAUGGAGAGUUUGCAAUAUAGGUCAAGGUGCUCUCUGAAGGGCCCAGGGGAGGAUCACCUGACUGGGAGGGGGGUGACUCAGCGGGAAGGGGGAGGGAUGGGAACCGGAAUCUCCUGGCCCGCAGGGCCUGCAGGAGGAGGUCAAGUUGUCUCUGGCUGGCUGUCUGUCAGGUCUGGCUGCCUGUCAGGGGAGGAAGGAGAAGCUGCUGGAGACAGGAGGAGGGGCAAAUGACCUCCGGUGACCCACCUAGGGUGGCAUCAAAAUCCCUCCCCCAGUGGCCUGUUACCCUCCCUGUAGCUGACGCCACUCCCAGGUCAGUCUGCCUCUGUGGCUUGUAAAGACCUAAUUAGCCGCCUCUCUUGCCAAAGAGGGAAAGCAAAUGAGCAGAGAGCUCAUCACUCCAGACUCCAUCAA